AUGACAUUGCCAAACACAUUCAUGUCAGCGGAUCAGAUAUUUGAGUUUGUUAGAGAUGCGGAUUGUUAUCUAAAUGUCUCAAUUGCUUAUCGUAUCCUUUUGACCGUACCUGUGACUGUUGCAUCAGCUGAAAGGAGUUUCUCAAAAUUCAAACUAUUGAAAAAUUAUUUGAGGUCAACGAUGUCUCAAGAAAGAUUGAAUGGAUUGGCCAUGUGCUGCAUUGAGAAGAAUAUGCUGGAUAGUAUUGAUCUUGACACUCUCAUUGAUGAUUUUGCGUCAAAAAAUGCACGAAAUUUUAUGAUU
rnacentral:rRNA from 1 species